ACGAUGAUGCCCAGCUUGCUGGGUGGAUUAGUGGCGAACGGGUGAGAAACGCGUGAGUAACCUGCCCCUGACUCUGGGAUAAGCGUUGGAAACGACGUCUAAUACUGGAUAUGACUGCCGGCCGCAUGGUCUGGUGGUGGAAAGAUUUUUUGGUUGGGGAUGGACUCGCGGCCUAUCAGCUUGUUGGUGAGGUAAUGGCUCACCAAGGCGACGACGGGUAGCCGGCCUGAGAGGGUGACCGGCCACACUGGGACUGAGACACGGCCCAGACUCCUACGGGAGGCAGCAGUGGGGAAUAUUGCACAAUGGGCGAAAGCCUGAUGCAGCAACGCCGCGUGAGGGAUGACGGCCUUCGGGUUGUAAACCUCUUUUAGUAGGGAAGAAGGGAGCUUGCUCUUGACGGUACCUGCAGAAAAAGCACCGGCUAACUACGUGCCAGCAGCCGCGGUAAUACGUAGGGUGCAAGCGUUGUCCGGAAUUAUUGGGCGUAAAGAGCUCGUAGGCGGUUUGUCGCGUCUGCUGUGAAAUCCCGAGGCUCAACCUCGGGCUUGCAGUGGGUACGGGCAGACUAGAGUGCGGUAGGGGAGAUUGGAAUUCCUGGUGUAGCGGUGGAAUGCGCAGAUAUCAGGAGGAACACCGAUGGCGAAGGCAGAUCUCUGGGCCGUAACUGACGCUGAGGAGCGAAAGCAUGGGGAGCGAACAGGAUUAGAUACCCUGGUAGUCCAUGCCGUAAACGUUGGGCGCUAGAUGUAGGGACCUUUCCACGGUUUCUGUGUCGUAGCUAACGCAUUAAGCGCCCCGCCUGGGGAGUACGGCCGCAAGGCUAAAACUCAAAGGAAUUGACGGGGGCCCGCACAAGCGGCGGAGCAUGCGGAUUAAUUCGAUGCAACGCGAAGAACCUUACCAAGGCUUGACAUACACCGGAAACGGCCAGAGAUGGUCGCCCCCUUGUGGUCGGUGUACAGGUGGUGCAUGGUUGUCGUCAGCUCGUGUCGUGAGAUGUUGGGUUAAGUCCCGCAACGAGCGCAACCCUCGUUCUAUGUUGCCAGCGCGUUAUGGCGGGGACUCAUAGGAGACUGCCGGGGUCAACUCGGAGGAAGGUGGGGAUGACGUCAAAUCAUCAUGCCCCUUAUGUCUUGGGCUUCACGCAUGCUACAAUGGCCGGUACAAAGGGCUGCGAUACCGUAAGGUGGAGCGAAUCCCAAAAAGCCGGUCUCAGUUCGGAUUGAGGUCUGCAACUCGACCUCAUGAAGUCGGAGUCGCUAGUAAUCGCAGAUCAGCAACGCUGCGGUGAAUACGUUCCCGGGCCUUGUACACACCGCCCGUCAAGUCAUGAAAGUCGGUAACACCCGAAGCCGGUGGCCUAACCCUUGUGGAAGGAGCCGU
rnacentral:rRNA from 1 species